rnacentral:rRNA from 1 species
CCUUCAGGCAUCCCUAGUACGGCGAGUGAAGAGGGAAGAGCCCAAGAUUGAAAGCUGGCGUCUUCGGCGUCCGCAUUGUAAUCUCAAGAAGUGUUUUCCGCUUCGGACCAUGCCUAAGUCCCUUGGAAAAGGGCAUCAUAGAGGGUGAUAAUCCCGUUCAUGGCAUGGAGCGCCCGAAGCUUUGUGAUACGCUUUCUAAGAGUCGAGUUGUUUGGGAAUGCAGCUCAAAAUGGGUGGUAAAUGCCAUCUAAGGCUAAAUAUUGGGGAGAGACCGAUAGCGAACAAGUACAGUGAUGGAAAGAUGAAAAGAACUUUGAAAAGAGAGUUAAACAGUACGUGAAAUUGCCAAAAGGGAAGGGUAGGAGGUCAGAGAUGCGUCUUGGAAUUCAGCCUUGCUUCUGCUUGGUGUUUUUUCCAUUUUGCAGGCCAACGUCGGUUUUGGGCACUGGAGAAGGGUGGAAGGAACGUGGCACCUCUCGGGGUGUGUUAUAGCCUUCUACUGGAUACAGCGACCGAGACCGAGGACAGCAGCGUACUCGCAAGAGCGGGCCUUCGGGCACCUUUACGCUUAGGGCGUUGGCAUAAUGGCCCUCUACCACCCGUCUG